CCUACGGGAGGCAGCAGUAGGGAAUCUUUCACAAUGGGCGAAAGCCUGAUGGAGCAACGCCGCGUGCAGGAUGAAGGCCUUCGGGUUGUAAACUGCUUUUAUAAGCGAGAAAUAUGAUGGUAACUUAUGAAUAAGGAUCGGCUAACUACGUGCCAGCAGCCGCGGUCAUACGUAGGAUCCGAGCAUUAUCCGGAGUGACUGGGUGUAAAGAGUUGCGUAGGUGGCAUAAUAAGUAGCUAGUGAAAUCUGGUGGCUCAACCAUUCAGACUAUUAGCUAAACUGUUAAGCUCGAGACCGGUAGGGGUAACUGGAAUUUCUAGUGUAGGAGUGAAAUCCGUAGAUAUUAGAAGGAACACCAAUAGCGUAGGCAGGUUGCUGGGACGGUUCUGACACUAAGGCACGAAAGCGUAGGGAGCAAACGGGAUUAGAUACCCCAGUAGU
rnacentral:rRNA from 1 species